ACUGUUGUAGGUGCUGUGGGGCAAGUGAGAUUAAGACCUUGCCCUCUAAGUAAUAUUAAAUAGAUGAUAAUGUGAUAGCAAGUGACAGCUGGAGUGAGAGACUGUGCUUGAGUUAGGGUAAUCAAGAAAGGUCUCAUAGAAGAAGUGGUUAGGUAAGACUGGGUGUAGUCAUGUGAAGAUGUAGAGAAGAACUUUCCAAGCAGAAGAGACACAAAAUGCAAAAGCUAUGAGAUGGGCAAGAGCAUAUGUGUUAAUAAGACAGAAGGAAAGCCUGUGUGGAUGAGCAAUGGGAAAAGAGAAGAGAAAAGAAAAGAAAGAUGAAGUCUGAAGUCUAAGGAACAGGAACAAGUCUGAAUCUUGUACAGCCUUGUAGCCCAUGCUGAGGCCUUUGAGAUACUAUAUGAACUGCUCCAACAUUCUGAAGAGAAGGUCUGGAUCAUUUAAGUAGGACUUGCAAAGAAAGUGGCCUAGAUCCUUAGCUGAGCUGAUCACUUACCUCAAACCUAUAAAGAAGUGGAGGGGCCAAGAAUAGGUGUUGGAUAUCAGCGGGAGAGUUUCAUCAAAGAGCUGUCAGUUUCAUCUCAACCUUACCCUCCAGGAGAGGUAAGAUGUCCUCUGUCUCACAAUAAAUGAGUUUGACUUUUGGUCCUGGGCAUCUGUGGUACUGAGAGCUUAGGGCUGGCUCCAUGCUUUAAAAUAUGUAUAUGUGAGAACUGCAUGAACUCGCCAGUGCGGAGAUGAAAAAGAAAGAAAAAAGUCAGGAAGCUCCAGAAGCUUUCUACAUUUCCAUUUGAGAUAAGGACAAGGAUGCUUGAAUGUUUUUCUUGAAGAAGUGAACAAAUGGAACAGAAAUCUACAUUUUACCUGAGAGAGGAAAGAGAGUGCAUAACUGUUUCUCAUGAACCACAGUGAAGUUUGAGAGCAUAGGCUCAGAACCAACUCAAAUCCUCUAUACAAAGAUUGCCUGGAGAGUCAAGGUGAACACCCCUCCUACGCACACACCUGCCAACACACACACAAAAGACAGAGGAAGACUACAGGAUUGCAAAAGGAGAGAGAAGGAACACAAGUGGCUAGCUGAAGGAAAAGUAUUGCUUAAAUUUGGGGACCACUGCAGAAGGUUUCCAAUAGCACUCCAAAAAAAUAGGAGGCCACAUGAAUCAUAAUCAAUCCCAAAGGAAUCCAUCAUAAAUACUGGUCACAGCUGGAAGUAACCAAUACUCUAUUGGUGUCUGUCCUUGUUCAUGUACUUGUCUCCCCACCACUCCAAUCACUGAAGCUGAGUCUCUUGGGUGGUGUGCAAAGGAGAUCGAAUCCAGCCAAGUGACAGGAUGAAAGAGAAUCUGACCACACUCUCCAUACUUGCCACAGGCUUCCAAGCUCAAAGGGUCCUGUAGUGAGAGAGGAGUGGCUCUUUGUUUUUUUUUGUUUUGUUUUGUUUUGUUUUGUUUUAAGAUGGAGUCUCCCUCUGUUGUCCAGGCUGGAGUGCAGUGGCGUAAUCUCAGCUCACUGCAACCUCUGCUUCCUGGGUUCAAGCAAUUCUCGUGCCUCAGCAUCCCUGAGUAGCUGGGAUUACAGGUGCCCGUCACCACACCCGGCUAAUUUUUGUAUUUUUAGUAGAGACAGCAGAAAUGGGGCUUUGCCAUGUUGGCCAGGCUGAUUUCAAACUCCUGACCUCAGGUGAUCAGCCCACCUUGGCCUCCCAAAGUUCUGGGAAUACAGGCGUGAGCCACUGCACCCAGCUGAGAGGCUCUUUUUAAAUUUUAAAAUAUUUAAUUGACAAAUGAAAAUUAUAUAUAAUCAAGGUACACACAUGAUGAUUUAAUAUGCUUGUACAUUAUAUAUUGUCUAUCACAGUGUAAUUAACAUAUCCUUCACCACCCAUAGUUACCAUUGUGGAGUGUGGUGAGAGUUGAGGACACUUAUAAUCUGCUAUCUUAACAAAGUUCAAGUAAACAAUACAGUAUUAGUAACUAAGGUCACUAUUCUAUACAUUAGAUGCCCAGAAAUUAUUCAUCUUAUAAUAAAGUUUGUACCCUUUGACCAAAUUUCCUGAGCUGCUCUGUGCUCCCCACCACGCCUGUCAACCACUAUUCUGCUGUUUGCCUCUAUGAGUUUGACUUUUGAAAUUUUGGAGGUUUUAAAGAUCACUCUGGUCUAAACAUAAACUAGCCAAUUCAGUAACCACUAGCAGCAUGCAACCACUUAAAUUUAAAUUUAAAAUAAUUAAAAUUAAACAAGGUUAAAAAUCCAGUUUAUCAGUCACACUAGCCAGAUUUCAAAUACUCAAUAACUACUUGCAGCUACUUUAUUGGACAGUGCAGAUAUUAAAAUUUUCUAUUAGACAGCACUGGUGCCAUAUAUAUUAAUCAGUGAACUGAGAGUUUGGUUAUUUGUCACUAAAAGUUAUCAGAAGACUUUUUUUUUUUUUUUGAGAUGGAGUCUGGCUCUGUCGCCCAGGCUGGAGUGCAAUGGCACUGUCUUGGCUUACUGCAAGCUCUGCCUCCUGGGUUCAGACAAUUCUCCUGCCUCAGCCUCCCAUGUAGCUGGGACUACAGGUGCCCGCCAUCAUGCCCAGCUAAUUUUUUGUAUUUUUUAGUAGAGAGGGGGUUUCACCAUGUUAGCCAGGAUGGUCUUGAUCUCCUGACCUCAUGAUCCACCUGCCUCAGCCUCCUGAAGUGCUGGGAUUACAGGCGUGAGCCACGGCACCUGGCCUAUCAGAGGGCUUUUGUUAUUACCUGAGAGUUGGCAGAUAACAUGAUUGCACAGAGUAGGAUUAAAUGGCCCAAAGAAGAACAGAGUGGUUGAUCUGAUUUCACUUGAUGAGUCGCAGCUCUUCAGUGCUCUGUUUCUACACCCAGGUAAAACUCGUUGCCUAAGCAAAAGUAUUGAUUAUUAUUGAAAAUAAUACACAUCAAAUGUAGUGCCUGGGCAUCUAUUGGGCUCCAUAUUCAACUUUUUCUUUUCUUGGAAAAUUUCGGGUAGAGUGAGGGAAGAAUAUAAAAAAAAUCCAAGGAAGUCAUUUAAACCAAAUAAAAUGAUAACACUUGUGAUACUCUAAAUGUGGAUUCUAGAUUUUAAAAAUGAAUGUAAAAAUAAAAACACCACCGAAGUGUUAUAAAUAUUGUAAAAAAUUUGUGGGGUUGAAAAUUUGAAAAUUACUUAUCAACUUAUUUAUUCAAACUUUUGUAAACUUUAUUCCAUUUUUAAGUCUUAUAGUAAUCACUAACAUGCAUCAUUUAGAUGCUUGAAAAUAUUCUUGGACUCUCGUGUGUUUUGUAAUAACAAUCAUAGUUUUCUUUUUAGUCAUGUGCAUAACCUAGAACAGAAGGCAAUUCAAUUUAGUCUCCUUACGAGAUAUUUGUUCUCUUUUUAUCCAUUACUUUCUUAAGAUUUAAUGUGACAUAUUAAAAACAUAAAAUCAUAUGAAAUACUUUAUCAUAAACACCAACCUACAAAAAAAUUUCUUAGUACAUUACUCCAUGGGGAAAUAAAUGUAAGCUUUCUGCUGAAAACAGAUGGCAAGCUCACAAAUAGAGCUUUUGCAGGUGUUUUAUAUGGGAAUAAUGUUGCUGUAAGUCUCCAGAAAAAUGAUAGCAUAUUAGUGCUAGAGACACUAAAGCACUUAAAGUCCGAUCACCCCCUUUGACAGUUGUGGAAAUUGAGGCCUGUUGCCACUUUCCUCGGGUGGCAGCAUAAUAGGAGAAUUAAGAACAUGGAUUGGAAUUGAAGAAACUAAAUCCGUGCCCUGACCCUGGCCCAUAUCUACUGGGCAAAUUUGAGCAAGUAGCUUAAUAGCCCUAGGUUUCAAUUUCUUCCCAUGUGAACUUAGAAUAAUAAUGCCAAAUAAUAUAAUUACAAACUGAUCAAUUUCUUAUGAGACAGAUGAUGUUCGCAACAUACAAUUUAUGGUAGCAAUCAUUUUUUUCUCCUCCAUUACUGCUUUAAAUUUUUCUAUAAUUACCCACUUAAAGUCACAAGACAAAGUGAGUGAAGUCCCCAGCCAUUCACUUUCCUCUGUUGCCCUCUGCUCAGGGAUCCCAGGAUCUCAGUACUGGCAGCAGGAGUGAGCCCUGCUGAACUAUUUUUCCCAAAUUAAGCCUUUAGCACCAGAGUAGGAUUAGGAAGGGAAAUUGAGGCGGCAUCCACUCUCAGCUACAUUUGCUUCUAGAGUCCUCUUUCACAUUUUCCUGCCCCCAGAAUGGAGGAAAUUCUGCCCUUCUCUCAGUCCCAAGUCCUUUCCCAUUUCCAGAACAAGUGAAAAUUUUUUCAGGGAAAAAUACACUUUCUUAUACAUGAGUUUUAUGUGCAGGAUUUUGCAUAUAGACUAUCCUUGGAACAGUCAAGGGACAAACUGGAAACAAAUCAAUAUGCACAGAGCAGGAAACUAGAGGAUUUUGAGACUGAACCAAGAACCACUCACUACAGUGUAUAGCCUAUGUUGGGGAAACAAAUGGCUAUAAAAGAGGACACUGGGGCUUUUCUAACUUUAGCUUCCAAAGUACUUAACAAUUCCAGGCAUACUUCAGGCAAUCAUCAAUAAUUAAAGUAAAAGGUAAAAACCUGUCAAAUAAAUGAGAGAGUAUAACCAGACCCAUUAUAUUCUGGAUAGUGCACAGGGAUCUAACUGGGCUAGGUAUUAGACUUUAGGAAAAAGGCCCUUGUCCUGAAACUAUAAAAUUUAUGUGCUGCAUGACAACAGGAGCACUGGCCUUUGUUCUAUCAGGAGCUGGAGUCCAAGUUCUGCAAUUAGAGUUUGUGUCAUGCGAGAGCCUUCACCUCACCCUCUGUUCUUACACCAGCAGUGAAGUACAGCUGGUCUCCAUCCCUUGUAGAUUUUAGUUCUAAAAUGACCUGUUCUUCAAGGACAUCCCAAAAUCUCAACUGAAGUGUACAAAAAUAAAAAAUAUAUAAUUUUAUAUUUAUGCAAGA
rnacentral:lncRNA from 1 species